rnacentral:lncRNA from 1 species
CAAGGCCCAAGGCGGGAAGACAGCUACCGAUGUUCUUUCUCCCAACCCGGCUAAAGAACGUUGGGUCAGCACAGGACUGCAGGAUGGGGUGGAAAGAGCUGUGGAGUUGGAGAAAGCUGGGAUCCAGGAUCUGCCACUUCCUGGCUACGUGCUGAGCACUUCUUCCUGCCACCUUGUGAAGAAGGUGCCUUGCUUCCCCUUCGCCUUCCGCCAUGAUCGUAAGUUUCCUGAGGCCUCCCC